UUAUUCUUCUCCGUUUCUUUCUUUCUCCCUUGUGUGCCCGAUUCCCUCCUCUCACGCACUGUGUCGUGCCCUAACCGAUCUGAGAUGGUUCUUCUCCUCUUCUUCCCCUUUUUCUUCCGUGACGCCAAGCCUUCUCUUCAUCUUCUUCAUCGCGCCGCCGCCACCACAGUUGGCCAUCUCCUUUGCUCGUCUCUGCCCUAACCUCUUCACGCGAUCGCCGACCCUUACAAGCUUCGGCUAGGUCAUGACGGCACUGAUCUUCACUGCCACCAGCAUCAGGUGUGGUCGUGACGGAGGACGAGGCUAGCCUUCAGUCGAUCUUCUUCCUCUUCAUCCCGAUUCCUCUUCAUCACGCACCAAGCCGACGAUCCUCUUCCUAUCUUUGGAUCUCUCGUGCUGACUUCUUCGCUUGUGGAUCCGAGCAGAGCAAGGAGUCAUCGACGAUAGAUUUUUGGUUCUGUUCCCAUGCCCUAUAUUUACUCUUGCUGCCGGAUCUGAACAAGAAUCAGUGAUUUCAUUAGGAAGGUGCCACGGUCCUGAUUGGUUGGUGCCAUAGUCGUUUCCAUGAGGCCAGCAUCGUUCAUAGGCGAGCCACGACUCUAAUCACCCUAUUCCGACAAAGAACCCUUCGAUCGUGAGUUGACAGAAGGAUAUUUGGAUUUAGGGUACUUAUUUGGGGAAAUCACUAGAUCCACCCAGCUCAGGCCAGCAGUAUGAUUCUUGGGCUGCGAGUCCUAUAUCAGAGCAUUUAAAUUUGGAUAAAGGAAAAGGAAAGCUAUAGUGAAGGAAGGCGACAAGGAGAUGUGUGAUGGAUGUGUGAUGUCUAGACUAUGGAAGCCUUGGGACCUUACUAAAGAAUUUAUUAAUAUUUUGUAUAUAGACUGUUAGUGAAAUUUAGGUGGAUUAAGUCCUUCUUGCAUUGUUGGAAUUAUUCUUUAGUGUUGCUGGUUUGUUCAUAGAAUGUUUUUAUGUUUUUAGAAUUCUUCCAUUUAAAUUGCUAUGCACAUUAGUUCCAUUCCUUGAGUUGUAUAACUGUAGCAUGCAUGUGCAGAUUGGUAUUCAGUUGCUCCUUUUAUUCUUUUGAGUAGAGUAUUGAGAUGAACUACCUAUAUCCUUAUGUUUCAACUACUACUUGAUUGCAUGUUUCGAAUUUCUGAGAGUUCUAAAUAUCACUAUCAAUAGCGUGAGCCAGACUACUUAAGUAAAGUUUAUAGUUAAGUAACGUCCCACCAUUACAGACUAGUAGUAAAGAGGGUGGGCGUUACAAGGUGGUAUCAGAGCAGUCCCCAUUCUCCAAC